GGCUUGUAGCCGAGCAACUUUGCCCAAACGACUUCACAACAUCUUCAGACGCCGUUCUAUCUACUAGAAAGCUCGACCGAUCUUCAGGGGGGCCGAUCCAAAAGGGAACACCGACGAACAAAAAUUAAAAUAUAAUAAAAAUAAAAAAAAAUGGUUUACGAAAGUGAUUUUUACACGACUAGAAGGCCGUACCGUGCUACACCUUCAAUUUCGACUUAUACCGUAUCGUCGGUUCCAUCCAGGCAAGUAAGGAUCCUUCCGGGAUUGGGAAAGGUUCAUGUCGUACAUACGUACGAUAGGAUCGUGCCUUACGUGGGUCACAAGAGGCUCACUGUAGUAACAUCAAACCCAAUGGUAUACAAAGUCCGUCCAUCAGUUCUCUACAAGGAAUUCGAUAGAAUCGAAAACAAGUAUCGUCCGUACACGUACACCUCGGCGUUGAGCGAAUAUCUCAACUCAGAUUCAGCGGUGAGGUAUCCGUAUAGUUAUAUCAGAUAUCCGUAUACAUAUUCAUAUACCCCAUCUUACUACUAUACUAUCUAUCGUCCGUAUUAUCCUACGUAUUACGUCAAUAGAUAUUUGGUUAGACGUCCAUACUAUUACGAUACUAUUUACAAUAAUCCAUAUUAUUAUUACUACAAUUACUAUCCUAUUUCACGACCUCGUUAUUCAUCUUUGUAUUCUCUAAGAUACUUAUUAGAUCGUCCAAAUGCAAUUGACUCAUCGCUCUAUCCUUACUUCUAUUAUUAUUAUUAUAAAUAUCUUUAUCCAACCUAUCUUCCUAGAUAUUCGAGAUUUUUCUCAUCUAUCUUCGACGACGAAAAGAGGUUGAUCAGAGCUGAGACGGCGUCUCUUUUGAGGAGAAUUCAUGCUCCGGUCCCUCGUGUUUCCAAACCGCUAGCACUGCCAUAUGUUACCAGGUACGAUGAGUUUCCAGUAAAAACAUAUUCCGACAGUUACAUAUAUAAAAUGAUGAUGUCAUCUCCAAAAGAUCCAAGAGUUGUAGCGUACACUACGUAUUACAGCGAACCGGUGAGAAAAUAUUUUGAAACAGCGUUAGCCACGUGUUCCGCAUCUAAUACAAAGCUUUUCCCUGCUGCUUUCGAUUUUCGGCCACCAAGUGUCUGAUGGCAACAACCGUAAUAGAGCUUUUAAGUUCACGGGCGUUCCGCUUUCGUGUUUCCUAGCAUUGUCACUUGACACGACAAGGAUACUUGUCGUGUGUAUCCUUUGCCGGUGACAAAGUUCACCCGAGACGCAGGAACGUGUACGUCUACGAGGAUCCUGUAAG
rnacentral:misc_RNA from 1 species